CAAUGAGCAAAUUGGUCCCUUCUCAAAACCUACAUGCUUAGGACAGCGCAAUCCCUGGAAGUGAUCCUUCACAUAUCAGCACAGUCAUAGCUGAUUAAAUAAGCUUGAGAAGGAGGAGGAAAAGCUUGAAGCAGAGCAACAGUGGGAGGAAGAGGAGCUGCAACAGAUAGAGGCCAUUCAACUUGAAUCCUCUUUGAGGACCCCAUAGACUUUAUCCAUGGACAGUGAAGAAUUAAGCAAGCAUGUGGAAGAACCAGCACCAGCAUCGGAAGCACAGACAGCAGUUGGAAACACUUACUUUCUCAAGAUGCUGCAAAGAAAGACCCUCCU
rnacentral:lncRNA from 1 species